rfam:Hammondia hammondi strain H.H.34 contig15614, whole genome shotgun sequence.
GGGAAGGAUGAGAAGCUUCGACAAGGUUCGAGUCUCAUGCAAUGAGACAACGCGCUUCAGCGCGGCCCACAGGGUGAGGAGUGCAACGACGAGUAAUCCUUCCCCCACCACCA